rnacentral:rRNA from 1 species
AUUGAACGCUGGCGGCAUGCCUUACACAUGCGAGUCGAACGGUAACGGGCCUUCGGGUGCCGACGAGUGGCGCACGGGUGAGUAAUACAUCGGAACGUGCCCGAUCGUGGGGGAUAACGAGGCGAAAGCUUUGCUAAUACCGCAUACGAUCUACAGAUGAAAGCAGGGGACCGCAAGGCCUUGCGCGGACGGAGCGGCCGAUGGCAGAUUAGGUAGUUGGUGGGAUAAAAGCUUACCAAGCCGACGAUCUGUAGCUGGUCUGAGAGGAUGAUCAGCCACACUGGGACUGAGACACGGCCCAGACUCCUACGGGAGGCAGCAGUGGGGAAUUUUGGACAAUGGGCGCAAGCCUGAUCCAGCCAUGCCGCGUGCAGGAUGAAGGCCUUCGGGUUGUAAACUGCUUUUGUACGGAACGAAAAGCCUUCUUUUAAUACAGGAGGGUCAUGACGGUACCGUAAGAAUAAGCACCGGCUAACUACGUG